UGGUUUUAUCCGCCUCCUGUCUCUACUACUUAACGCACCUUCGCUGCGCGGGAGAGUUGUGGGCGGGAUCAGAAACUGAUUCAGGCUGACAAAACAAAAAACCCGCGCACUGCGCGGGUUUUUUU
rnacentral:sRNA from 1 species